rnacentral:lncRNA from 1 species
CAGGAUGCUUCCUUUAAAAACACACAAUAAUUAUUGUUUUACUUUAAUUGUAGGUCCUCAGCUAUAGGGGCUGCUCCAGUUACCUUAAGAUCAAGGAUAGCGUGUUGCUGUAGAGGACUGAAUUGGAAAGUUACCAUUUCUUCCUUGAUCCCCUCUUUGGCUUCAGGAAGAACUCGUCUAGAGAACAGUACAGAGUAGGAGAGACGCUCCAUGCACUUUCUCCAUCCUGAGAUACCAUUUAGCCCUCGUUGCCUCCUGGCAUGAACUCAGUUUCCAGACUUUGUCCCUGUUGUGGCACCUCCUG